GAGGGAAUCUUCGGCAAUGGACGAAAGUCUGACCGAGCAACGCCGCGUGAGUGAAGAAGGUUUUCGGAUCGUAAAACUCUGUUGCUAGAGAAGAACAAGGACGUUAGUAACUGAACGUCCCCUGACGGUAUCUAACCAGAAAGCCACGGCUAACUACGUGCCAGCAGCCGCGGUAAUACGUAGGUGGCAAGCGUUGUCCGGAUUUAUUGGGCGUAAAGCUAGCGCAGGCGGUUUCUUAAGUCUGAUGUGAAAGCCCCCGGCUCAACCGGGGAGGGUCAUUGGAAACUGGGAGACUUGAGUGCAGAAGAGGAGAGUUGAAUUCGAUUUGUAGCGGUGAAAUGCGAAGAUAUAUGGAGGAACACCAGUGGCGAAGGCGGCUCUCUAGUCUGUAACUAACGCUGAGACUCGAAGGCGUGGGGAGCAAACAGG
rnacentral:rRNA from 1 species